rnacentral:lncRNA from 1 species
AGGGCAUAAGUCUGUUUUGCCUAUGUUGGAUAUGGCUUAAACUGUACUAGCCUGAGCAAUUAAGAUUCUUACACUUACUGAGCUUUGACUUCUGCCGCUUCCCAUGCCUACGGUGUGCCCUGGAGAGAGAUGUUGUGAGAGAUAACAAUACUUCAUCUCCUGAACACACUGGCUCCCUGUAAAGUGAGUAUGCUUAAUACC